rnacentral:rRNA from 1 species
CAAUAGCGUAUAUUAAAGUUGUUGCAGUUAAAAGCUCGUAGUUGGAUUUCUGGCAGGAGCGACCGGUCACGCACUCUGUGCGUGAACUUGUGUUGUCUCUGGCCAUCCUUGGGGAGAUCCUGUUUGGCAUUAAGUUGUCGGGCAGGGGAUACCCAUCGUUUACUGUGAAAAAUUAAGAGUGUUUAAAGCAGGCUUAUGCCGUUGAAUAUAUUAGCAUGGAAUAAUAAGAUAGGACUUCGGAACUAUUUUGUUGGUUUUGCGUUACGAAGUAAUGAUUAAUAGGGACAGUUGGGGGUAGUUCUGUAUUUUCAUUGUCAGAGGUGAAAUUCUUGGAUUUUCUGAAAAGACGAACUACUGCGAAAAGCAUUUUACCAAGGAUGUUUUCAUUAAUCAAGAACGAAAGUUAGGGGAUCGAAGACGAUUAGAUACCA